GACGAACCGUGCGAACGUUAUUCGGAAUCAUUGGGCUUAAAGGGCGCGCAGGCGGGCGGACCGCGUCGAGUGCUGAAAGCCCCGGCUCAACCGGGGAAUGGGCCUCGAAACGGGUCACCUGGAGGCGAGGAGGGGACCGGGAACGUCCGGUGGAGCGGUGAAAUGCGUUGAGAAUCGGACGGAACGCCGACGGCGAAAGCAAGGUCCAGGCUCGUCCUGACGCUGAGGCGCGAA
rnacentral:rRNA from 1 species